GAUGAACGCUGGCGGCGUGCCUAAUACAUGCAAGUCGAGCGAACGGACGAGAAGCUUGCUUCUCUGAUGUUAGCGGCGGACGGGUGAGUAACACGUGGAUAACCUACCUAUAAGACUGGGAUAACUUCGGGAAACCGGAGCUAAUACCGGAUAAUAUUUUGAACCGCAUGGUUCAAAAGUGAAAGACGGUCUUGCUGUCACUUAUAGAUGGAUCCGCGCUGCAUUAGCUAGUUGGUAAGGUAACGGCUUACCAAGGCAACGAUGCAUAGCCGACCUGAGAGGGUGAUCGGCCACACUGGAACUGAGACACGGUCCAGACUCCUACGGGAGGCAGCAGUAGGGAAUCUUCCGCAAUGGGCGAAAGCCUGACGGAGCAACGCCGCGUGAGUGAUGAAGGUCUGCGGAUCGUAAAACUCUGUUAUUAGGGAAGAACAUAUGUGUAAGUAACUGUGCACAUCUUGACGGUACCUAAUCAGAAAGCCACGGCUAACUAC
rnacentral:rRNA from 1 species